rnacentral:rRNA from 1 species
CCGUGCAGGGAGGGGCUCGCGGCCUAUCAGCUAGUUGGUGAGGUGACGGCUCACCAAGGCGACGACGGGUAGGGGGUCUGAGAGGAUGGCCCCCCACAUUGGGACUGAGACACGGCCCAG